UACGUAGGCAGCGAGCGUUGUUCGGAGUUACUGGGCGUAAAGCGUGCGUAGGCGGCGGCCCAAGUCUGGUGUGAAAUCUCCCGGCUUAACCGGGAGGGUGGCAUUGAUACUGCAGGACUUGAGUAAAGUUGAGGUAGGCGGAAUUGACGGUGUAGCGGUGAAAUGCUUAGAUAUCGUCAAGAACACCGAUAGUGAAGACAGCUUACUAAACUUUAACUGACGCUGAGGCACGAAAGUGUGGGGAUCAAACAGG
rnacentral:rRNA from 1 species